UUUAGGAUCAUUUUCACAUUUUAAUAGAAAAAGCAAACACAUAGUGGAUACAAAAGACAAUAUUGAAUUGUUUUUUAAAUAACCAAUGGUAUCAUUAGUCUAUUUUCAAUAAUGGGGAAGCCCAACUUUCAAGCUGGAAGCUACACAUUUUGUGAACUGCGAAGACCAUGCUGGAGGCCACCCAGGCCUAAGUAAGAACCCAAGUCUCUUCAGCAAGUGCUCCAUAACUCUUAGAUAAAUUUCUAAAAACAGGACAUGGUGCGUUUAGUUCUCCCAACUGCUCCCAUUUCCCAUGCAGAUAUUCCUCAAAAUUAGAAAAGGGUGAACACAGCAAUUGUGUAUGAAUCUCCAUCCAGUCUACAAAAUACAGGCACUUCUCUGUGUCUGCAGAUCCCAUAUCUGCAGAUUCAACCAAACAGAUCAAAAAAUCUGAUAAAUGCAUCUGUACUUAACAUGUAAAUUUGUUUCCUUGUUAUUAUUCUUUAAGCACUAUAGUGUAACUGUUUACAUAGAAUUUCCAUCAUUAGGUAUUUUAAAUAAUUGAGAGUGGGCAGGGGUUGUAGCUCAGUGGUAAAGUACUUGCCUCACACACGUGAAGCCCUGGGUUCGAUCCUCAGCACCACAUAAAAAU
rnacentral:lncRNA from 1 species